AUGCACGCUGGCGGCGUGCCUCAUCCAUGCAAGUCGAGCGAACGGACGAGAAGCUUGCUUUUCUGAUGUUAGCGGCGGACGGGUGAGUAACACGUGGAUAACCUACCUAUAAGACUGGGAUAACUUCGGGAAACCGGAGCUAAUACCGGAUAAUAUUUUGAACCGCAUGGUUCAAAAGUGAAAGACGGUCUUGCUGUCACCUAUAGAUGGAUCCGCGCUGCAUUAGCUAGUUGGUAAGGUAACGGCUUACCAAGGCAACGAUGCAUAGCCGACCUGAGAGGGUGAUCGGCCACACUGGAACUGAGACACGGUCCAGACUCCUACGGGAGGCAGCAGUAGGGAAUCUUCCGCAAUGGGCGAAAGCCUGACGGAGCAACGCCGCGUGAGUGAUGAAGGUCUUCGGAUCGUAAAACGCUGUUAUUAGGGAAGAACAUAUGUGUAAGUAACUGUGCACAUCUUGACGGUACCUAUCAGAAAGCCACGGCUAACUACGUG
rnacentral:rRNA from 1 species